GAGUGAACGCUGGCGGUAGGCCUAACACAUGCACGUCGAACGGCAGCACAGUAAGAGCUUGCUCUUACGGGUGGCGAGUGGCGGACGGGUGAGGAAUACAUCGGAAUCUACUUUUUCGUGGGGGAUAACGUAGGGAAACUUACGCUAAUACCGCAUACGACCUACGGGUGAAAGCAGGGGAUCUUCGGACCUUGCGCGAUUGAAUGAGCCGAUGUCGGAUUAGCUAGUUGGCGGGGUAAAGGCCCACCAAGGCGACGAUCCGUAGCUGGUCUGAGAGGAUGAUCAGCCACACUGGAACUGAGACACGGUCCAGACUCCUACGGGAGGCAGCAGUGGGGAAUAUUGGACAAUGGGCGCAAGCCUGAUCCAGCCAUACCGCGUGGGUGAAGAAGGCCUUCGGGUUGUAAAGCCCUUUUGUUGGGAAAGAAAAGCAGCAGGUUAAUACCCCGCUGUUCUGACGGUACCCAAAGAAUAAGCACCGGCUAACUUCGUG
rnacentral:rRNA from 1 species